CCCUUAGAUGUUCUGGGCCGCACACGCGCUACACUGAAGGAGGCAGCGUGUACUCCUGGAUCGAAAGAUUUGGGUAACCCGCGAAUCUCCUUCGUGCUAGGGAUUGAGGUUUGCAAUUAUCCUUCAUGAACGAGGAAUUCCCAGUAAGUGCAAGUCAUAAGCUUGCGCUGACUACGUCCCUGCCCUUUGUACACACCGCCCGUCGCUACUACCGAUUGAAUGAUUUAGUGAGGACUUCGGACUGGGACCGAUGCGGCUUUCGGGCUGCGUCGGUAUUCUGGAUAGAUGUCCAAACUGUAUCAUUUAGAGGAAGUAAAAGUCGUAACA
rnacentral:rRNA from 1 species